CGUACUCGUUCCACACUUUUAAAUACUCGAGUUUAGAUUGGGAAUCUUUUCGAGUUGUGCUUAUCACAGAGUUUUACUGGGAGGUUGGAUUGUAUACCGAGGAGAUUCCCAAUCUAUCUCUAGUAUUCAAAAGUGUACAACGCCUGGGGUAGACGAGUGCG